UACGUAGGUGACAAGCGUUGUCCGGAUUUACUGGGCGUAAAGAGCGCGCAGGCGGUCGUUCAAGUCGAGUGUGAAAGCCCCCGGCUCAACUGGGGAGGGUCAUUCGAUACUGAUCGACUCGAAGGCAGGAGAGGGUAGUGGAAUUCCCGGUGUAGUGGUGAAAUGCGUAGAUAUCGGGAGGAACACCAGUGGCGAAGGCGGGUCUCUGGGCAGUAACUGACGCUGAGGAGCGAAAGCGUGGGGA
rnacentral:rRNA from 1 species